UGAAAUCCACAAGCAGACAGCCAGGCACCACACCCUGGGCCUGGUAGUUAAAGAUCGACCCCUGACGUAAUUGGUUAUAUUAUCUACAGAUUGCAGACAUUGUAUAGAAAAGCACUGUGAAAAUCCCUAUCCUGUUUUGUUCCGAUCUAAUUACGGGUGAAUGCAGCCCCCCAGUCAAGUACCCCCUGCUUGCUCAAUCGAUCACGACCCUCUCACACACACUCCGUUAGAGUUGUGAGCCCUUAAAAGGGACAGGAAUUGCUCACUCGGGGAGCUCGGCUCUUGAGACAGGAGUCUUGCCAAUGCCCCUGGCCGGAUAAACCCCUUCUUUCUUUAACUCGGUGUCUGAGGAGUUUUGUCUGUGGCUCGUCCUGCUACAUUUCUUGGUUCCCUGACUGGGAAGCGAGGUGAUUGGUGGAUGGUGGAGGCAGCUCCUUAGGCAGCUUAAGCCUGUCCUGUGGAACAUCCCUGUGGGAGACUGUGACCAGACCAAGCGACACGGAUCCUGAGAGCGCUCCCGGGUAGGCAUUUGCCCCGGUGGGACACCUCACCACAGCAGUGUGUGGCAGGCCCCCGUGGAGAAUCAACGCAGUGGCUGAACACCGGGAAGGAAUGGGCACUUGGAGUCUGGACAUCUAAAACUUGAAUUAGAGGAGACAGCACUGAUUGCAGUGACAGAAGCGGUGCCAGCUAACUCCCCACCAUCAAAAGUAUCUUCUGCUGUAGCCUGGCACAAGUUUCAAGCAUCCACUGGGGGUCUUGGGAUGUGUCGCCCUGCAGAUAAGGGCAACUGCUGUGCAGCAUGAACAGUAUGGAGACAAUACUUAUCUUCAUGGAGUUUAUAUUAGAGUAAGACAAGAGGUAGGAGACUGCCUAUUUUAUUGUUCUCUUGAAAAGACUGGGUAUUUUACUUUUAUGAAAGGCUUUAUAGCCUGCAGGGGCAUUCUAAUAUGGAUUUUGGGGGUGAAGAGACAAAUAGGUGUGGAAAGUAAGUUCAGGGGUUCAGAGACCCAUAGGUUUUUUAAAAGAGAAGUCAGGGGAAGGUCUCUUAAGGUAGUAGUGGAGUCCAAAUUAUUCUAUGUCCCUUGUAGCUCCUACCCUUUGUAUGCAGUAGUUUUUUUUUUAAAUCGAAGACGGGGGAAGGUCUCUUAAGGUAAUAGUAGAGACCAAAUUAUUCUAUC
rnacentral:lncRNA from 1 species